AGAUGGAGGAGAAACAUAUCGAACAAUAUUCUUGUCAGCGGAAACGAACUGUUUCGUUAGUGGAGUCAUUCAUAGUGUUGGAGCGGUGGAAAAGAUUUGAGCUCAACAGAAAUUGCAGCAAAUGCGAGCACCGAAGCGAAAGCAGCUACUGGCUACAAUAUUUGACUGCAUUGCUU